UUUUUUUCUCUUUUUUUCAGCUCCGUGAUAUCCUUCAGCGUGGAAUCCUGCAGCCUUUCGCUACAUGCACACGGCGAGUCUGUGCGUGGCACCGGAGCAAGCAGACGUGGGUCUACGACUCUUUGCAUCCACCUUGAAGUAAAGUGGGGGGAAAAAAAACGAGUGGCUGCUUCAUCCAUCUUGCUGCAGUCACGUGAAAAGAGAGCCGUCGGUAAAAUGACCCCGGUGGCGCAGCGGCACAAGGAGGACCAUGUCACAUUGGAAGCACCUCCAUUCAGCCAUCUGCCAGCUCAAAUCUCAAUCCCCCCACCCUCUACCCCAUAACGAAGCUGCAAGCAGGUGAAAGCGGGCCACUCUGGAGAGAGAGAAGCAUUAGCAUUGUUCUUGACCACGUAAUGUCUUCAGCCGUGGAAAUAAAUCCAUACUGUGGCAUGAAAUUCUCUGGGGAAGCAGCAACCAUUGUGUCCUUUUCACCUCCCUCACCAAUGGUUUAAUUUCUUUCAUUUUCUUGGCUGCAGCCUCAGUUAGUAAAAGAAAGGGCGGCAUUCAAAUGGCCGUUGUGCAAGUUAGCAACCUUUUCAAGACCUCGGUUCAGCAAGCAAAGGAUAAAGACUGAAUGGGGAAAUCAAUUUAAAACAUUUUCUUUGCAAUAAGAUUUUCUAUGUUCCCUACUAGUCUUAAGACAGCAUUCUGAUCAUUAUGUUUGUGGCAUUACUAGAUAGUCAUUUAGCAAAAAAAGCCUUACUAUACAUGGCCAUUUAAAAAAAAUAGCCUUACAAAAUGUUUUAUUAUUAAAAUAGCCAGGAGCUGUCCCUUGGGGGGGGCAGUGGACUGUCAUGUGUCCGCACCAUCAGGACCUCGGACAGUGGUCUUUUUAUUUUUACAAAAGCCUUACUAUAUACUAUGUACAUAUAUAUACUAUAUUUAAUGAAAAAAUCCUUAUUACACUACUAUGGCCAUUUCUUAUGCCUUAUAAUACAUGGUCACUUUAUUAAUAAAAGGCCUUCCUGUUGUGUCUGAUGUUUAUAUUUAUUUAUUUAAUCGUUUAUAAUAUUUUGCAUGUUUUAUAAGUUAUGUAGCUACUGCAUACCUGUUCUUUAAGCUCUUGUGUGCCACUCUUGGAUGUGGAUACUGCUGGCAACUGAAUUUCCCCCAAUGAUCAAUAAAGUUUCUAUCUAGCAACCAUGA